rnacentral:rRNA from 1 species
CGGUGCCCGAGUUGUAAUUUGGAGAGGGCAACUUUGGGGCCGUUCCUUGUCUAUGUUCCUUGGAACAGGACGUCAUAGAGGGUGAGAAUCCCGUGUGGCGAGGAGUGCGGUUCUUUGUAAAGUGCCUUCGAAGAGUCGAGUUGUUUGGGAAUGCAGCUCUAAGUGGGUGGUAAAUUCCAUCUAAAGCUAAAUAUUGGCGAGAGACCGAUAGCGAACAAGUACAGUGAUGGAAAGAUGAAAAGAACUUUGAAAAGAGAGUGAAAAAGUACGUGAAAUUGUUGAAAGGGAAGGGCAUUUGAUCAGACAUGGUGUUUUGUGCCCUCUGCUCCUUGUGGGUAGGGGAAUCUCGCAUUUCACUGGGCCAGCAUCAGUUUUGGUGGCAGGAUAAAUCCAUAGGAAUGUAGCUUGCCUCGGUAAGUAUUAUAGCCU